ACAGCUUUGGACAAAAGUCUAUAGCCAGUGCAUUCGUAACUCCCCAUACACAAGAGCUGACUGUGGCUGUGGGAAGACAUUUUACUCAUUUGCUUUCCUCUUUCUUAUAGUUUUCUUGUCCUGUUCUCAGGUGUUUACCACCUAUUAGAAUUUCACCUGUAUGGGUCCUGUGUUUGAGAAAGUCCCAGGACUUGUCAUCUGGUAUAGGCCUCAUAAAGACAGCUGU
rnacentral:lncRNA from 1 species